GAUGAACGCUGGCGGCGUGCCUAAUACAUGCAAGUCGAGCGAACGGACGAGAAGCUUGCUUUUCUGAUGUUAGCGGCGGACGGGUGAGUAACACGUGGAUAACCUACCUAUAAGACUGGGAUAACUUCGGGAAACCGGAGCUAAUACCGGAUAAUAUUUUGAACCGCAUGGUUCAAAAGUGAAAGACGGUCUUGCUGUCACUUAUAGAUGGAUCCGCGCUGCAUUAGCUAGUUGGUAAGGUAACGGCUUACCAAGGCAACGAUGCAUAGCCGACCUGAGAGGGUGAUCGGCCACACUGGAACUGAGACACGGUCCAGACUCCUACGGGAGGCAGCAGUAGGGAAUCUUCCGCAAUGGGCGAAAGCCUGACGGAGCAACGCCGCGUGAGUGAUGAAGGUCUUCGGAUCGUAAAACUCUGUUAUUAGGGAAGAACAUAUGUGUAAGUAACUGUGCACAUCUUGACGGUACCUAAUCAGAAAGCCACGGCUAACUACGUGCCAGCAGCCGCGGUAAUACGUAGGUGGCAAGCGUUAUCCGGAAUUAUUGGGCGUAAAGCGCGCGUAGGCGGUUUUUUAAGUCUGAUGUGGAAGCCCACGGCUCAACCGUGGAGGGUCAUUGGAAACUAGAAAACUUGAGUGCAGAAGAGGAAAGUGGAAUUCCAUGUGUAGCGGUGAAAUGCGCAGAGAUGUGGAGGAACACCAGUGGCGAAGGCGACUUUCUGGUCUGUAACUGACGCUGAUGUGCGAAAGCGUGGGGAUCAAACAGGAUUAGAUACCCUGGUAGUCCACGCCGUAAACGAUGAGUGCUAAGUGUUAGGGGGUUUCCGCCCCUUAGUGCUGCAGCUAACGCAUUAAGCACCCCGCCUGGGGAGUACGACCGCAAGGUUGAAACUCAAAGGAAUUGACGGGGGCCCGCACAAGCGGUGGAGCAUGUGGUUUAAUUCGAAGCAACGCGAAGAACCUUACCAAAUCUUGACAUCCUUUGACAACUCUAGAGAUAGAGCCUUCCCCUUCGGGGGACAAAGUGACAGGUGGUGCAUGGUUGUCGUCAGCUCGUGUCGUGAGAUGUUGGGUUAAGUCCCGCAACGAGCGCAACCCUUAAGCUUAGUUGCCAUCAUUAAGUUGGGCACUCUAAGUUGACUGCCGGUGACAAACCGGAGGAAGGUGGGGAUGACGUCAAAUCAUCAUGCCCCUUAUGAUUUGGGCUACACACGUGCUACAAUGGACAAUACAAAGGGCAGCGAAACCGCGAGGUCAGGCAAAUCCCAUAAAGUUGUUCUCAGUUCGGAUUGUAGUCUGCAACUCGACUACAUGAAGCUGGAAUCGCUAGUAAUCGUAGAUCAGCAUGCUACGGUGAAUACGUUCCCGGGUCU
rnacentral:rRNA from 1 species